UAUAAAGCAGAAGUGUUCAUGCUCUCUAGCAUUGCUAAACAAUAACUACCUUCACUUGAGAAUUAAGAGAUACAAUGACUUUGAUAAUUCGCCAAUUGGUAAUCUGUGAGUACAAUAAUUAAAGUUUACGCAAUGCAGUCGAAUGCUUCAUUUUGGGUUUCAAUAAUGACGAGGAUGGGACACAGAAGCACGCUGCUGUUUUCAAUUACAAACGUUCCACAAUCAAAGAAAAGAAAACGGAAAGCUUUUGAAAUGAUGAUCUGCCAACUGACUUGAUCAUUCCUUUGGUCUUAUAAUUCUGGUUUACGAGGAAAAAAGGCUUUUAAAAACCUUCUUCAGUGGAUGCCCACAAGAUGAGCAAAAAGUUGCUUGAAUAUGCAACAACAAAACUUGCCCAUUUUACUGCUCUCAGAACAAGUCAACUUUCAUCACAUUCAAUAAUAAUCAUGAAUUCCAGUUUAAUAUCAAUAAAGAAAAUUUAAUUUAAUUAAAAAUAUCUAGUAUAAA